rnacentral:misc_RNA from 1 species
AAGAGUCAUACGUGCGGCCGAGUUUACUUGGUCGCCGUAACACUCCACCCUUUGUUUACAUAUCUUUGUUGCUUUGGCAGGCCCGCUCUCGGGCCACCGGCUUCGGCUGGUCAGCGCCUGCCAGAGGACCUAAAACUCAUGUUAAUAAUAUUGUCUGAGUACUAUAUAAUAGUUA